rnacentral:misc_RNA from 1 species
UCCGGUUUGGCACCGGCAGUCUCCCUAGAGUUCCCGGCAUUACCCGCUGGCAACUAAGGACAGGGGUUGCGCUCGUUGCGCCACUUAAGGCAACACCUCACGGCACGAGCUGACGACAGCCAUGCACCACCUGUGCGGGCUCCGAGGAGCGCCGUAUCUCUACGGUUUCACCCCGCAUGUCAAGCCCAGGUAAGGUUCUUCGCGUCGCUUCGAAUUAGGCCACAUACUCCACCGCUUGUGCGGGCCCCCGUCAAUUCCUUUGAGUUUCAACCUUGCGGUCGUACUCCCCACACCCAGCGCCCAACGUUUACGGCGUGGACUAC